GGACGGGAUCCAUCGGAGAGCUUGCUCGAAGAUGGUGAGAGUGGCGCACGGGUGCGUAACGCGUGAGCAACCUACCUCUAUCAGGGGGAUAGCCUCUCGAAAGAGAGAUUAACACCGCAUAAUAUAAUUUGCCGGCAUCGAGGAAUUAUUAAAUAUUUAUAGGAUAGAGAUGGGCUCGCGUGACAUUAGCUAGUUGGUAGGGUAACGGCUUACCAAGGCGACGAUGUCUAGGGGCUCUGAGAGGAGAAUCCCCCACACUGGUACUGAGACACGGACCAGACUCCUACGGGAGGCAGCAGUAAGGAAUAUUGGUCAAUGGGCGGAAGCCUGAACCAGCCAUGCCGCGUGCAGGAUGACUGCCCUAUGGGUUGUAAACUGCUUUUGUCCAGGAAUAAACCUCUUUACGAGUAGAGAGCUGAAUGUACUGGAAGAAUAAGGAUCGGCUAACUCCGUG
rnacentral:rRNA from 1 species